UAUUAGUCAAUGCUCGCAAGAGUGAACUAGCUAACUGAAAUCCUUGGUGUGCCAUCGAGGAUAACGUAAGGGAAAAUAAUGAUGUUACCUUACUAGUAGUGUCGUCCAAGUGCUCGUGCCAGAAGACUCGGUAAGGCGAGAGACGCAAACGUUAUUCGUCUUGAUCAGGCGUAAAGGGUUUGUAGGCGGCUUUAAGUAUCCAAUUUUAAGUUUACUAUUAUAAUUUUAUUUUUAAUAUUGUUAUAAUAUUUAUUAAAGGAUCAAUUAAAGCUAGAAUCUAACAGGGGUUAAAACAAUGCUUAAAGUAGGAGUACGAACCAUAGAUAUUAAGUAGAGUGUUAAGGGCGAAGGCUUUUAUCCAAUAAAGAUUGACGCUGAGAAACGAAGGUGAGGACAGAAAAAAGGAUUAGAGACCCUUGUAUCCCUCACUGUCAACGAUGAAUGGUAGUUACUAGGGAGAAAUAACCUAGGGACGAUGUUAACACGAAAACCAUUCCGCCUUGUGAGUACGACUGCAAAGUUGAAAACAAAAAAAUUAGUCGGUUUCGGAGCAAACGAAGUGAAGCAUGUUAUUUA
rnacentral:rRNA from 1 species